AACGCGAAGAACCUUACCAAGGCUUGACAUGGGGAAGACUGCACGAGAGAUCGUGCUUCUCUAGCAAUAGAGCUUCCCACACAGGUGCUGCAUGGCUGUCGUCAGCUCGUGUCGUGAGAUGUUGGGUUAAGUCCCGCAACGAGCGCAACCCUCGUUUCUAGUUGCCAUCAUUCAGUUGGGCACUCUAGAGAGACUGCCGCGAAUAACGCGGAGGAAGGUGAGGACGACGUCAAGUCAUCAUGGCCCUUACGUCUUGGGCUACACACGUGCUACAAUGGGCGUUACAAAGGGUCGCAAGAGCGCAAGCUGGAGCCAAUCCCCAAAAGCGCCCUCAGUUCAGAUUGAGGUCUGCAACUCGACCUCAUGAAGGUGGAAUCGCUAGUAAUCGCGGAUCAGAACGCCGCGGUGAAUACGUUCCCGGGCCUUGUACACACCGACGCGUA
rnacentral:rRNA from 1 species